UUCGCCCUUAGAGUUUGAUCCUGGCUCAGGACGAACGCUGGCGGCGCGCCUAACACAUGCAAGUCGAACGAGCGAGAGAGAGCUUGCUUUCUCGAGCGAGUGGCGAACGGGUGAGUAACGCGUGAGGAACCUGCCUCAAAGAGGGGGACAACAGUUGGAAACGACUGCUAAUACCGCAUAAGCCCACGGCUCGGCAUCGAGCAGAGGGAAAAGGAGCAAUCCGCUUUGAGAUGGCCUCGCGUCCGAUUAGCUAGUUGGUGAGGUAACGGCCCACCAAGGCGACGAUCGGUAGCCGGACUGAGAGGUUGAACGGCCACAUUGGGACUGAGACACGGCCCAGACUCCUACGGGAGGCAGCAGUGGGGAAUAUUGCACAAUGGGGGAAACCCUGAUGCAGCGACGCCGCGUGGAGGAAGAAGGUCUUCGGAUUGUAAACUCCUGUUGUUGGGGAAGAUAAUGACGGUACCCAACAAGGAAGUGACGGCUAACUACGUGCCAGCAGCCGCGGUAAAACGUAGGUCACAAGCGUUGUCCGGAAUUACUGGGUGUAAAGGGAGCGCAGGCGGGAAGACAAGUUGGAAGUGAAAUCUAUGGGCUCAACCCAUAAACUGCUUUCAAAACUGUUUUUCUUGAGUAGUGCAGAGGUAGGCGGAAUUCCCGGUGUAGCGGUGGAAUGCGUAGAUAUCGGGAGGAACACCAGUGGCGAAGGCGGCCUACUGGGCACCAGCUGACGCUGAGGCUCGAAAGUGUGGGUAGCAAACAGGAUUAGAUACCCUGGUAGUCCACACCGUAAACGAUGAUUACUAGGUGUUGGAGGAUUGACCCCUUCAGUGCCGCAGUUAACACAAUAAGUAAUCCACCUGGGGAGUACGACCGCAAGGUUGAAACUCAAAGGAAUUGACGGGGGCCCGCACAAGCAGUGGAGUAUGUGGUUUAAUUCGACGCAACGCGAAGAACCUUACCAAGUCUUGACAUCCUGCGACGGUGCUGGAAACAGUACUUUCCUUCGGGACGCAGAGACAGGUGGUGCAUGGUUGUCGUCAGCUCGUGUCGUGAGAUGUUGGGUUAAGUCCCGCAACGAGCGCAACCCUUAUGGUCAGUUACUACGCAAGAGGACUCUGGCCAGACUGCCGUUGACAAAACGGAGGAAGGUGGGGAUGACGUCAAAUCAUCAUGCCCUUUAUGACUUGGGCUACACACGUACUACAAUGGCGUUGAACAAAGAGAAGCAAGACCGCGAGGUGGAGCAAAACUCAGAAACAACGUCCCAGUUCGGACUGCAGGCUGCAACUCGCCUGCACGAAGUCGGAAUUGCUAGUAAUCGUGGAUCAGCAUGCCACGGUGAAUACGUUCCCGGGCCUUGCACUCACCGCCCGUCA
rnacentral:rRNA from 1 species